rnacentral:misc_RNA from 2 species
AAGAGUUGCAAAACUCCCACAAACCAUCGCGAACGUUACCCAGACGUCGUUGCUUCGGCGGGCUCGCCCGCCGGGGGGACGCUACCAGACUCUUGCAGUUCUUCGGCCUCUCUGAGUACGAUUUUUAAAUAAGUCA